AUACAUGCAAGUCGAGCGGACAGAUGGGAGCUUGCUCCCUGAUGUUAGCGGCGGACGGGUGAGUAACACGUGGGUAACCUGCCUGUAAGACUGGGAUAACUCCGGGAAACCGGGGCUAAUACCGGAUGGUUGUUUGAACCGCAUGGUUCAAACAUAAAAGGUGGCUUCGGCUACCACUUACAGAUGGACCCGCGGCGCAUUAGCUAGUUGGUGAGGUAACGGCUCACCAAGGCAACGAUGCGUAGCCGACCUGAGAGGGUGAUCGGCCACACUGGGACUGAGACACGGCCCAGACUCCUACGGGAGGCAGCAGUAGGGAAUCUUCCGCAAUGGACGAAAGUCUGACGGAGCAACGCCGCGUGAGUGAUGAAGGUUUUCGGAUCGUAAAGCUCUGUUGUUAGGGAAGAACAAGUACCGUUCGAAUAGGGCGGUACCUUGACGGUACCUAACCAGAAAGCCACGGCUAACUACGUGCCAGCAGCCGCGGUAAUACGUAGGUGGCAAGCGUUGUCCGGAAUUAUUGGGCGUAAAGGGCUCGCAGGCGGUUUCUUAAGUCUGAUGUGAAAGCCCCCGGCUCAACCGGGGAGGGUCAUUGGAAACUGGGGAACUUGAGUGCAGAAGAGGAGAGUGGAAUUCCACGUGUAGCGGUGAAAUGCGUAGAGAUGUGGAGGAACACCAGUGGCGAAGGCGACUCUCUGGUCUGUAACUGACGCUGAGGAGCGAAAGCGUGGCCCGCC
rnacentral:rRNA from 1 species